UACGGAGGGUGCAAGCGUUAAUCGGAAUUACUGGGCGUAAAGCGUGCGCAGGCGGUUUGUUAAGUCUGCUGUGAAAUCCCCGAGCUCAACUUGGGAAUUGCAGUGGAUACUGGCAGGCUGGAGUACGGUAGAGGAAGGUGGAAUUCCCGGUGUAGCAGUGAAACGCGUAGAUAUCGGGAGGAACACCAGUGGCGAAGGCGGCCUUCUGGACCAAUACUGACGCUCAUGCACGAAAGCGUGGGGAGCAAACAGG
rnacentral:rRNA from 1 species